rnacentral:rRNA from 1 species
GACAGAGGGGGCAAGCGUUGCUCGGGAUUACUGGGCGUAAAGGGCGCGUAGGCGGGAUGGCAAGUCGGUCGUGAAAUCCUUCGGCUCAACCGAAGAACGUCGAUCGAUACUGCUGUUCUUGAGGGUUGCAGAGGAGACUGGAAUUCCCGGUGUAGCGGUGAAAUGUGUAGAGAUCGGGAGGAACACCGGUGGCGAAGGCGGGUCUCUGGGCAAUUCCUGACGCUGAGGCGCGAAAGCGUGGGGAGCAAACGGG